UACGGGGGGGGCAAGCGUUGUUCGGAAUUACUGGGCGUAAAGGGCUCGUAGGCGGCCGACUAAGUCAGACGUGAAAUCCCCCGGCUUAACCGGGGAACUGCGUCUGAUACUGGAUGGCUUGAGUUUGGGAGAGGGAUGCGGAAUUCCAGGUGUAGCGGUGAAAUGCGUAGAUAUCUGGAGGAACACCGGUGGCGAAGGCAAUCCCCUGGGCCUGCACUGACGCUCAUGCACGAAAGCGUGGGGAGCAAACAGG
rnacentral:rRNA from 1 species